AGGAAAUAGAUACCCGGGUAGUCCCAGCCGUAAACGAUGCUCGCUAGGUGUCAGGCAUGGCGCGACCGUGUCUGGUGCCGCAGGGAAGCCGUGAAGCGAGCCACCUGGGAAGUACGGCCGCAAGGCUGAAACUUAAAGGAAUUGGCGGGGGAGCACAACAACGGGUGGAGCCUGCGGUUUAAUUGGACUCAACGCCGGACAACUCACCGGGGGCGACAGCAAUAUGUAGGCCAAGCUGAAGACUUUGCCUGAAUCGCUGAGAGGAGGUGCAUGGCCGUCGCCAGUUCGUACUGUGAAGCAUCCUGUUAAGUCAGGCAACGAGCGAGACCCGUGCCCACUGUUACCAGCAUAUUCUCCGGAAUGAUGGGUACUCUGUGGGGACCGCCGAUGUUAAAUCGGAGGAAGGUGCGGGCCACGGUAGGUCAGUAUGCCCCGAAUCUCCCGGGCUACACGCGGGCUACAAUGGAUGGGACAAUGGGUCCCUCCCCUGAAAAGGGCUGGUAAUCUCACAAACCCAUUCGUAGUUCGGAUCGAGGGCUGUAAC
rnacentral:rRNA from 1 species